rnacentral:rRNA from 1 species
GAUGAACGCUGGCGGCGUGCUUAACACAUGCAAGUCGAACGGAAAGGCUCCUGCUUGCAGGGGUACUCGAGUGGCGAACGGGUGAGUAACACGUGGGUGAUCUGCCCUGCACUACGGGAUAAGCCCGGGAAACUGGGUCUAAUACCGGAUAGGUCGAUGGUUUGAAUGCCAUCGUGGAUAGUUUUUCGGAGGGGGAUGAGCUCGCGGCCUAUCAGCUUGUUGGUGGGGUAAUGGCCUACCAAGGCGUCGACGGGUAGCCGGCCUGGGAGGGUGUACGGACACAUUGGGACUGAGAUACGGCCCAGACUCCUACGGGAGGCAGCAGUGGGGAAUAUUGCACAAUGGGCGCAAGCCUGAUGCAGCGACGCCGCGUGGGGGAUGACGGCCUUCGGGUUGUAAACUCCUUUCGCUAGGGACGAAGCGCAAGUGACGGUACCUGGAGAAGAAGCACCGGCUAACUACGUG